rnacentral:rRNA from 1 species
GUGAGGAAUAUUGCGCAAUGGAGGCAACUCUGACGCAGUCAUGCCGCGUGCAGGAAGAAGGCGCUACGCGUUGUAAACUGCUUUUAACCGGGAAGAAACCCCAGGACGUGUCCUGGGUUGACGGUACCGGAGGAAUAAGCACCGGCUAACUUCGUGCCAGCAGCCGCGGUAAUACGAAGGGUGCAAGCGUUAUCCGGAUUCAUUGGGUUUAAAGGGUGCGUAGGCGGAGCGUUAAGUCAGUGGUGAAAUCCUGCAGCUUAACUGUAGACUUGCCAUUGAUACUGGCGCUCUUGAGUGCGCUUGAAGUGGGCGGAAUGUGCCGUGUAGCGGUGAAAUGCUUAGAUAUGGCACAGAACACCAAUUGCGAAGGCAGCUCACUAAGGCGAUACUGACGCUGAGGCACGAAAGCGUGGGGAUCGAACAGGAUUAGAAACCCCGGUAGUCC